rnacentral:rRNA from 1 species
GACGAAGGAUGCAAGCGUUAUCCGGAUUCAUUGGGUUUAAAGGGAGCGUAGGUGGCCUUAUAAGUCAGUGGUGAAAUCCCGCAGCUUAACUGUGGAAUUGCCAUUGAUACUGUAGGGCUUGAGUACAGAUGCCGUUGGCGGAAUAUGACAUGUAGUGGUGAAAUACAUAGAGAUGUCAUAGAACACCGAUUGCGAAGGCAGCUGACGAAACUGUAACUGACACUGAGGCUCGAAAAGUGCGGGGAUCAAACAGG